rnacentral:tRNA from 1 species
UCCCUGGUAGCUCAGCUGGUAAAGCAUCUGCCUGCAAUGCAGGAGACCUGGGUUCAAUUCUUGGGUGAGGAA